rnacentral:rRNA from 1 species
UCAGGAUGAACGCUAGCGGCAGGCCUAACACAUGCAAGUCGAGGGGUAACAUUGGAGCUUGCUUCAGAUGACGACCGGCGCACGGGUGCGUAACGCGUAUACAAUCUACCUUUUGCUGAGGGAUAGCCCAGAGAAAUUUGGAUUAAUACCUCAUAGUAUACACUACUUUCAUGAGUUAUGUAUUAAAGGUUACGGCAAAAGAUGAGUAUGCGUCCUAUUAGCUAGAUGGUAAGGUAACGGCUUACCAUGGCAACGAUAGGUAGGGGCCCUGAGAGGGGGAUCCCCCACACUGGUACUGAGACACGGACCAGACUCCUACGGGAGGCAGCAGUGAGGAAUAUUGGACAAUGGAGGCAACUCUGAUCCAGCCAUGCCGCGUGCAGGAUGACUGCCCUAUGGGUUGUAAACUGCUUUUAUACAGGAAGAAACACUGCUACGUGUAGCAGCUUGACGGUACUGUAAGAAUAAGGAUCGGCUAACUCCGUGCCAGCAGCCGCGGUAAUACGGAGGAUCCAAGCGUUAUCCGGAAUCAUUGGGUUUAAAGGGUCCGUAGGUGGAUAAUUAAGUCAGAGGUGAAAGUUUGCAGCUCAACUGUAAAAUUGCCUUUGAUACUGGUUAUCUUGAAUCAUUAUGAAGUGGUUAGAAUAUGUAGUGUAGCGGUGAAAUGCAUAGAUAUUACAUAGAAUACCAAUUGCGAAGGCAGAUCACUAAUAAUGUAUUGACACUGAUGGACGAAAGCGUGGGGAGCGAACAGGAUUAGAUACCCUGGUAGUCCACGCCGUAAACGAUGGAUACUAGCUGUUCGGAACUUGUUUCUGAGUGGCUAAGCGAAAGUGAUAAGUAUCCCACGU